UCAUACAAUUUUUUCAUCCAUCCGUCUACACAUAUCUCAAAGCAAUCGUAGCUCGACAUGGCGGUUGAAGUCGCCAAAGAGGGUGAAUCAUUCUUCUGCGAUAAAGAUACGAACCCGAACCGGAAACAGAGGCAGCACAGCACAUGCGAUGCCCACCAACCUGAUAGUUAGCGACGUGGACUCAAUCAUGUUCGCCCAUUCAAUGAAUCCUACAUCCAUAACACAUCUUGAUGGCU
rnacentral:lncRNA from 1 species